rnacentral:rRNA from 1 species
GACGAACGCUGGCGGCGUGCUUAACACAUGCAAGUCGAACGGAAAGGCCCUGCUUUUGUGGGGUGCUCGAGUGGCGAACGGGUGAGUAACACGUGAGUAACCUGCCCUUGACUUUGGGAUAACUUCAGGAAACUGGGGCUAAUACCGGAUAGGAGCUCCUGCUGCAUGGUGGGGGUUGGAAAGUUUCGGCGGUUGGGGAUGGACUCGCGGCUUAUCAGCUUGUUGGUGGGGUAGUGGCUUACCAAGGCUUUGACGGGUAGCCGGCCUGAGAGGGUGACCGGCCACAUUGGGACUGAGAUACGGCCCAGACUCCUACGGGAGGCAGAAGUAGGGAAUAUUGCAAAAUGGGCGGAAGCCUGAUGCAGCAACGCCGCGUGCGGGAUGACGGCCUUCGGGUUGUAAACCGCUUUCGCCUGUGACGAAGCGUGAGUGACGGUAAUGGGUAAAGAAGCACCGGCUAACUACGUG